GACGAACGCUGGCGGCGUGCUUAACACAUGCAAGUCGAACGAAAAUACCAAGCUUGCUUGGUUGAUUAGUGGCGAACGGGUGAGUAACACGUGAGUAACCUGCCCCUUACUUUCCUGGAUAACUGCUCGAAAGGGUAGCUAAUACGGGAUAUUCUGACCAGCCUGCAUGGGUUGGUUUGGAAAGGUUGUUUUUCUGGUAAGGGAUGGGCUCGCGGCCUAUCAGCUUGUUGGUGGGGUGAUGGCCUACCAAGGCUUUGACGGGUAGCCGGCCUGAGAGGGUGGACGGUCACACUGGGACUGAGAUACGGCCCAGACUCCUACGGGAGGCAGCCGUGGGGAAUAUUGCACAAUGGGCGCCAGCCUGAUGCAGCGACGCCGCGUGAGGGAUGAAGGCCUUCGGGUUGUAAACCUCUUUCGUCAGGGAACAAGGCACUGCUUUUUUGGUGGUGUUGAGGGUACCUGGAUAAGAAGCGCCGGCUAACUACGUG
rnacentral:rRNA from 1 species